rnacentral:rRNA from 1 species
UACGGAGGGGGCUAGCGUUGUUCGGAAUGACUGGGCGUAAAGCGCGCGUAGGCGGAUCAGCAAGUCAGGGGUGAAAGCCCGGGGCUCAACCCUGGAAUGGCCCUUGAUACUGUUGGUCUUGAGUUCGAGAGAGGUGAGUGGAAUUCCGAGUGUAGAGGUGAAAUUCGUAGAUAUUCGGAGGAACACCAGUGGCGAAGGCGGCUCACUGGCUCGACACUGACGCUGAGGUGCGAAAGCGUGGGGAGCAAACAGG